GAUGAACGCUGGCGGUAUGCCUUACACAUGCAAGUCGUACGGGAGUUUUUAACUCAAGUGGCGGACGGGUGAGUAACACGUAAGAAUUUACCUUUAGGAGGGGGAUAACAACUGGAAACGGUUGCUAAUACCCCAUAUGCUUUCGAGUGAAAUGGAUUUUUCCGCCUAAAGAGGAGCUUGCGGCUGAUUAGCUUGUUGGUGAGGUAAUGGCUCACCAAGGCGACGAUCAGUAUCUGGUUUGAGAGGACGAUCAGACACACUGGAACUGAGACACGGUCCAGACUCCUACGGGAGGCUG
rnacentral:rRNA from 1 species